UUUACCCAAGGGUUUAGGAUUUACCCAAGGGUUUAGGGUUUAGGAUUAGGUUUUAGGAUUUAGUGUUUUGUUGAUUGUAUUAAAAAUAUUUUUUUUUAAAUUCAAGAAUUUAAAAUUUAUCAAAGGGUUUAGGGUUUACCAAAGAGUUUAGGGUUUAGAUUUAGAGUUUAGUGUUUUGUUUAUGGUAUUAAUUUUUUUUUUGAAAACUUUUUUUUGCAGCUACUAUUAUUUUUAUUCAUUUAUACUUUUUUUUUAAUUUUAAAAACGUAAUAUAAUUUGACAAUAUUUUGUUUCCUUUUUUAAAAGAUAUCAGAUUUAAAAUAACUAAAUUUUAUUGGUUGGUGAACCUAUAGGUUCACCCUAGGGAGUGAACCCAAGAAUAACUCUAAUAGAAAAGUAUCUCACGGUCACUAGGGCAUCUAGCGUGAAGCGUCAAAAAUGCAAAGCCAGAUAUCGCUUUAGGCUUCGAAUGGAAACAAAAACUGAGCGGUCCAGAACAAACGGAAUAAAUAUUGCAAUACAAAUUAACUGCAGUUAGUAUUAAAAAAAC
rnacentral:lncRNA from 1 species